rnacentral:rRNA from 1 species
AUGCUACCUCAAGGCAGGCAGGACUACCUGCUGAAU